rnacentral:sRNA from 1 species
GAGGCCAAUCUGGUUGUGACAACUAUCACACCACUGAUCAUCAGGACUGAUUCAACUGAUCUGGCAGACUAGGCAGGUGUCCCCUUUCUCCCGC